rnacentral:tRNA from 1 species
GGGCGAUUAGCUCAGUUGGUUUAGAGCACCUGCCUUACAAGCAGGGGGUCACUAGUUCGAAUCUAGUAUCGCCCACAA